CGAGGAACCGCGAUCGGAGGAAGUAUUGUCGGUUUCAUCAUGAUCAUGGUCACGAUAUCGAACAAUACAUUCAACUUAGGAAUGAGAUAGAAGUCCUGAUUUGAUGAGGCUAUCUCGAAAAGUACCAGAGAGAUUCACCGACACAACCUCCUGUCGAUCGAUGACCUCAGCCGCAAACUGAGGAAGCUGUAAAUAAUCAGCCGACUGCAGGGGUGAUCAAUAUGAUCUCCAGAUGACCAAAUUGGGGGGCAACUUUCGAAGAAGAGUCGGUGAAAUGAUGAUGACUCAACAAUGUAAUAAUUUUUUUAGAAGAAGAUGUUUAGAUAAUUCAGACUCUCCAUGAUGAUGCUGUUGUUGUCUCGACAAUAAUAGUAAAUUAUGAUAUAAAAAGAAUCUUUGU
rnacentral:lncRNA from 1 species